GUCUCUCUCUCUCUCUCUCUCUCUCUCUCUCUCUCUCUCUGGUUUUCCUUUAUACCUUUUGUAUCUUCCUUUUGUAUCUUCCUUCAGCUUCUUUGUCUGUUAAUUAAAAGCCAUCAUGCCGGCCUGCAAACAUCUUAGCCUCAGAGUCUGUCACCGCACCUACGAGACAACCACAGGACCAACAGCAAGAACAAGAAAUACAAAUAAGCAAGAGAAGGAGAAGAAGCAAGACCGGUCUGCAAAUAGGAUGGAACGCUCGAGAUCUUGCUGCAUCCAUAAAGGGAGUCUUCUGCUGCAGAGUAAAACUUCUAACAGUGGUAUCAGAGCAUUGGUUUUUCGAUCUCAAAUGAUUGGUCCCGUUUCUUCUUCCCUACGGCUCAACAGAAAAACAAAAAAGGAAAAGGAAACAAAAAAAGAAGAAUGCUUGACGUUCCCUGCACCGUUCCUUCCCUGCACCAAAGAUUCGAAGAAACGUUGGCUUCCAGGGGCAGGGAGGCGAACGCACGGCGUAGGUUGUGGUAGAAGUUGUUGUCCACCGUGUAACCGGUGCAGUACCAAAAGGGAGGAGACUCGACCUUUUCGUCCUGAAAAGUGCUCGCCCUUAUCAUCGCCAACUCACUAAGCAAAUGUGGUUGCUUGGACAGUGCAUACCAAGUGUCUGAGAAGAUGCCGCAGAGGGAUGUGGUUGCUUGGAACUCCAUGGCUGCAGGUUGUGCUCUUCAUGGGCUAUAUGAUGAUGUGAUCUGUUUGGUUCUGGAAAUGCAACAGGCAGGCCUUAACCAAACUCUUCAACUUUGGUUUCAUUUUUGCCUGUUUUUGGUGAAGCUUCAGCUCUUCGACAGGGCAAGAGCAUACACUCUUACUGCGUAAGAAGGUUCUUUCAAUCGGCCACCUUCCUUACUUACAGGUGGCUUUCAAGUCUAUAAGCUUCAUCCCACGCUUCAAAUCUUUCUCUUUGAACUUGUGCAGUUUGUUUUAACUUACCCUGCAUUAGGGUUGUUUCCGUAUCUUCCAUACCAGCAGCUCCCGGCCCUCCCUCGAUGGGUUGUUCUUGAAUUCCUGUCUGGAUGUCACCUGUAAUCUCCACAAAAGAAGCUCCGACUUCACUAGUUUCUCCUUGCUUUUGCACGUUAGUGGUGCCGGUUGAACUUGUAAUGAUGUCUGGUGAUGUUCUACCACUCGCUGGCGCUGAUGAUGAAGUAACAUGUUUAUUAUCUUGUCAACAACGUUGAGAAGUUGAGAUGACUGUCAUGCUUGUGGCCUAAAUGCCAGCCUUUUGUCAAGCUUGCUUGUUCAUUUCUUUUCUGACAUAAGUUGUGUUUUGCUGUUAUGGGGCAACUUCAGCUGAUCAUUUACAUGUUCUUGUUACUCUAAAAGUUUAAACAAGUAAUCCUUGCAUAUUUGGGAUAACAAGUUCCACUUUGUGACCUUUUUGUGCUCUUCUUCUGCUGCAAUACCGUAGUAGCUAGAACUAUGAAAGUCUUAUCUCUGUUUCGUAGGUCUUCUUGGCCUGCAUUUGCUUUUCUUAGCUCAUGUAACCUCUUGGCUGAAUCUUGCUAAUGU